rnacentral:rRNA from 1 species
AUUGAACGCUAGCGGGAUGCUUUACACAUGCAAGUCGAACGAGUGGCGGACGGGUGAGUAAUAUAUCGGAACUUGCCCAGUAGCGGGGGAUACCUACUCGAACGAGUGGCUAUUCCGGCAUACUAUUGGAGCGGCCGAUAUCGGAUUAGCUAGUUGGUGGGGUAAAGGCUCACCAAGGCAACGAUCCGUAGCUGGUUUGAGAGGACGACCGGCCACACUGGGACUGAGAACCGGCCCAGACUCCUACGGGAGGAAGCGGUGGGGAAUUUUGGACAAUGGGGGAAACCCUGAUCCAGCCAUCCCGCGUGUAUGAGAAGGCCUUCGGGUUGUAAAGUACUUUUGGCAGGGAAGCGGUAACUGCAGAAUAAGCACCGGCUAACUACGUGCCAGCAGCCGCGGUAAUUC